AGCAGGUGGAAGAGACAAUAAGACUAUGAAACAGGAAGGCGGUUAUGUUGGCGCUGGAGAUCCUCUAAGAGAAGGCUACUGAGCUCUUCGGUUGCAUCCGAGCAACUUAAAGCACAGUCAACUGUGUCGAUGGUGGAGACAACCAUGGAAACAAGCAGCCAGGACGAUAUUAAGGCAGGUGAACACGAGGCAUUUUGGAUGAAAGAACACAAGAAUGGAAACUGGGAUUCCUGAGAAAUGCAUUGAAGAGAUAGAUGUGGCUGAAUUGAGGGAAGAAACUGCUGCCUAAAACUAAGAAGCUGAUCUAAAACAAGUGAAAGCUCUCAGCUUUGUUAUGUGCAUAUGAACAGUGAAGAACUACUGAGCAGAACUUUUUUUUUUCUCUCCAUCUCGCUCUGAUCUGUCAGUUUCAAGUCUCAAAUGAAUACCUAUAAAUUUAAAGAUGAUGAAUAUGAUGGAUGAAAGAAGGGAAUCUC